rnacentral:rRNA from 1 species
GCGGAUGUAUACUUUGUAUACGUGGUAGGGGAGCGUUCUGUAAGCCGAUGAAGGUGUGUUGAGAAGCAUGCUGGAGGUAUCAGAAGUGCGAAUGCUGACGUGAGUAACGACAAAACGGGUGAAAAACCCGUUCGCCGAAAGACCAAGGGUUCCAGUCCAACGUUAAUCGGGGCUGGGUGAGUCGACCCCUAAGGCGAGGCCGAAAGGCGUAGUCGAUGGGAAAAUGGUUAAUAUUCCAUUACUUCUGUGUAAUGCGAUGAGAGGACGGAGAAGGCUAAAUCAGCCUGGCGUUGGUUGUCCAGGUGAAAGGAUGUAGGCAUGUAUCUUAGGCAAAUCCGGGGUACUCUAUGCUGAGAUCUGAUAGCAAGCUGUACUUGUACAGCGAAGUGGUUGAUGCCAUGCUUCCAGGAAAAGUCUCUAAGCUUCAGUUACACAGGAAUCGUACCCGAAACCGACACAGGUGGUCAGGUCGAGUAGACCAAGGCGCUUGAGAGAACUCUGCUGAAGGAACUAGGCAAAAUGGUACCGUAACUUCGGGAGAAGGUACGCUGUUGUUGGUGAUGGAACUCGCUUCCUGAGCUGACGACAGCCGCAGAAACCAGGCCGCUGCAACUGUUUAUUAAAAACAUAGCACUCUGCAAACACGAAAGUGGACGUAUAGGGUGUGAUGCCUGCCCGGUGCUGGAAGGUUAAUUGAUGGGGUUAGCGUAAGCGAAGCUCUUGAUCGAAGCCCCAGUAAACGGCGGCCGUAACUAUAACGGUCCUAAGGUAGCGAAAUUCCUUGUCGGGUAAGUUCCGACCUGCACGAAUGGCAUAAUGAUGGCGGCGCUGUCUCCAGCAGAGGCUCAGUGAAAUCGAAAUCGCUGUGAAGAUGCAGUGUACCCGCGGCUAGACGGAAAGACCCCGUGAACCUUUACUGCAGCUUGACACUGAACUUUGACCUUACUUGUGUAGGAUAGGUGGGAGGCUUUGAAGCUGGAACGCUAGUUCCAGUGGAGCCGUCCUUGAAAUACCACCCUGGUAAUGUUGAGGUUCUAACUCUGUCCCGUGAUCCGGGACGAGGACCGUGUCUGGUGGGUAGUUUGACUGGGGCGGUCUCCUCCUAAAGAGUAACGGAGGAGUACGAAGGUGCGCUCAGCGUGGUCGGAAAUCACGCGUAGAGUAUAAAGGCAAAAGCGCGCUUAACUGCGAGACCCACAAGUCGAGCAGGUACGAAAGUAGGUCUUAGUGAUCCGGUGGUUCUGUAUGGAAGGGCCAUCGCUCAACGGAUAAAAGGUACUCUGGGGAUAACAGGCUGAUACCGCCCAAGAGUUCAUAUCGACGGCGGUGUUUGGCACCUCGAUGUCGGCUCAUCUCAUCCUGGGGCUGAAGCAGGUCCCAAGGGUAUGGCUGUUCGCCAUUUAAAGAGGUACGCGAGCUGGGUUUAGAACGUCGUGAGACAGUUCGGUCCCUAUCUACCGUGGGCGCUGGAAAUUUGAGAGGAUCUGCUCCUAGUACGAGAGGACCAGAGUGGACGAACCUCUGGUGUACCGGUUGUGACGCCAGUCGCAUCGCCGGGUAGCUAUGUUCGGAAGGGAUAACCGCUGAAAGCAUCUAAGCGGGAAGCCUACCUCAAGAUAAGAUUUCCCUAGGACUUUAUGUCCUCUAAAGAGCCGUUCGAGACUAGGACGUUGAUAGGUUGGAUGUGGAAGCAUAGUGAUAUGUGAAGCUGACCAAUACUAAUUGCUCGUGAGGCUUGACUAUACAACACCCAAGCAGUUG